CGUGACGUCACGGGCCACCCGCCAGCCCCGCGCUCCACCAGGCAGAGCGCGUGCGGCCGCCGAGCACAUGGACCCGCUGGUCAAGCGGGCUCUGCAAGGCCAGGAUGAAGAGAAGCUGCGAACUUACCACUCCCAGAGCCCCCCGAGUGGAUAUCCGCGUGUAAAGGAUGUUGGCAGCCUCGGUGACCUCGGAGUCACGGCUGGACCCACCCUCCCGUCUGAUUUUCUUAACUCGACCACGGUAAGAAGAUGCCCUCCUGCAGCAGGCCGUGCUUGCGGACCCCUCUGGAGACUUCCCGAACCCUGUGGAUUUACAGUAAGAUGCAGUUUCCCUGGGGAGUAAUUCUGGUGGAUACAAAUUCCGGAGUACCUCACCUGGCUUGCCUGGAGACGCUACAAGGAGCUGGAUGGAUUCUUCUAGCCUAGAUGCCCCCUGAGAAUGCGGUCGCAGCUCAGAGCACUGUAUGUCUACCCUUGACUCAACGGGAAUAUUUGCUCUCAUCUCUCGGGCUACCUGGAGCUCUCUCUAAAAUCAUAUCCUUUAGGCGUUCCAGAAGGACUUUGAGAACCAUCCUUUCCUAAAUCAAAGGUGGAAUAUUUGGCGAUUUGGAAAAUUGAGCCAGUCUCUCAUAGAAGAAUCAGUUAUGUCACUUUGCUGUGAGAUGCCUGGCCUAGGAGAGGAGCAGAAGGUCAGAAAGGGCCCUCUAAUGUGAUAAUUAGAUGAGAAGCGUUGACUUAAGAGAUGCCAAGUCACUCAGCAGAUGUCACACAGAUGACAACUAGCAAAGAUGGAAGGCUUCAUGCUGGAGGCAGUUCUAUAAGACAGCUGAGUUCUCCAGAGCUGGUAGGAGACAGACUUGCUCAGGUGAUAGAUCCGGCCAUGAUAUUGGCCAUAAGAGAAUCUGACACUGCAGAAGUCAUAGAAGAUUCCUGAAACUGGGAAAGAUGCCUAGAAAUCUGGAGAAGAGUGAAGAAGGGUACCUGGAGGCACAGCAGCCAUGUUGAACCUAUGAGGUGAUGAAAAGCCAUGCAACUAGAAGCCAGAAUGGAAGAAAAGAAGAGGCUGGAUCCCUGACUGAAUUGUCGAUGGGGAUAGUCCGUCAUCCCAGGGCUAAGACCACCUCCAUAUUUCUUGUUUGGUGAAACAAUUCCUAACUGGUUACAUUCCUUUAUGUUGAGCUGUCUCUUACUUGUAGCUGAAAGCGAUUCUAAUAGAUAUUCAGAUUAUCUGCACACUGAGGGGCAGCCUUAGCUCCAAGCUAGAAUACUCUAGGGGACUUUAGCUUCUCCAUGAAUUCCUUUGCUCAUCUGUGUAAUGCUCAAUAAAUGUAAAUUGAACCCUGAAUGAGGGACAAUGACAC
rnacentral:lncRNA from 1 species